rnacentral:rRNA from 1 species
AUGUUCUUCGUGAACAUGGCGUACUGCUCAGUAACACGUGGAUAACCUGCCCUUGGGUCUGGGAUAACCCCGGGAAACUGGGGAUAAUACCGGAUAACGCAUAUAUGCUGGAAUGCUUUAUGCGUAAAAUGGAUUCGUCUGCCCAAGGAUGGGUCUGCGGCCUAUCAGGUAGUAGUGGGUGUAGUGUACCUACUAGCCUACAACGGGUACGGGUUGUGAGAGCAAGAGCCCGGAGAUGGAUUCUGAGACAUGAAUCCAGGCCCUACGGGGCGCAGCAGGCGCGAAAACUUUACAAUGCGGGAAACCGUGAUAAGGGGACACCGAGUGCCAGCAUCAUAUGUUGGCUGUCCAGAUGUGUAAAAUACAUCUGUUAGCAAGGGCCGGGCAAGACCGGUGCCAGCCGCCGCGGUAACACCGGCGGCCCGAGUGGUGAUCGUGAUUAUUGGGUCUAAAGGGUCCGUAGCCGGUUUGGUCAGUCCUCCGGGAAAUCUGACGGCUCAACCGUUAGGCUUUCGGUGGAUACUGCCAGACUUGGAACCGGGAGAGGUAAGAGGUACUACAGGGGUAGGAGUGAAAUCUUGUAAUCCCUGUGAGACCACCUGUGGCGAA